GAUGAAGAACGUAGCGAAAUGCGAUACGUAGUGUGAAUUGCAGAAUUCAGUGAAUCUUCGAAUCUUUGAACGCACAUUGCACCUCUCGGUAUUCCGGGAGGUAUGCCUGUUCGAGCGUCAUUUGUACCCUCAAGCUCUGCUUGGUGUUGGGUGUUUGUUCCGCCUCUGUGUGUGAACUCGCCUCAAAACAAUUGGCAGCCGGCGUACUUGUUUCGGAGCGCAGCACAUUUUGCGAUCCAGAUCAACGUACAGCGGCAUCCAAGAAGCCUUAUUUAACGCUCUUGACCUCGGAUCAGGUAGGGAUACCCGCUGAACUUAAGCAUAUCAAUAAGCGGAGGA
rnacentral:misc_RNA from 1 species